rnacentral:tRNA from 1 species
UAGAAUAUUGUGUAGAGGAAGCACAAAGAGUUUUGAACUCUUAAGGUUGGGUUCGAAUCCCAAUAUCCUAC